rnacentral:rRNA from 1 species
AUGAACGCUGGCGGCGUGCCUAAUACAUGCAAGUCGAGCGAACAGACGAGGAGCUUGCUCCUCUGACGUUAGCGGCGGACGGGUGAGUAACCCGUGGAUAACCUACCUAUAAGACUGGGAUAACUUCGGGAAACCGGAGCUAAUACCGGAUAAUAUAUUGAACCGCAUGGUUCAAUAGUGAAAGACGGUUUUGCUGUCACUUAUAGAUGGAUCCGCGCCGCAUUAGCUAGUUGGUAAGGUAACGGCUUACCAAGGCAACGCUGCGUAGCCGACCUGAGAGGGUGGUCGGCCACACUGGAACUGAGACACGGUCCAGACUCCUACGGGAGGCAGCAGUAGGGAAUCUUCCGCAAUGGGCGAAAGCUUGACGGAGCAACGCCGCGUGAGUGAUGAAGGUCUUCGGAUCGUAAAACUCUGUUAUUAGGGAAGAACAAAUGUGUAAGUAACUAUGCACGUCUUGACGGUACCUAAUCAGAAAGCCACGGCUAACUACGUG